AAACUGCGAAUGGCUCAUUAAAUCAGUUAUCGUUUAUUUGAUAGUACCUUACUACAUGGAUAACCGUGGUAAUUCUAGAGCUAAUACAUGCUAAAAACCUCGACUUCGGAAGGGGUGUAUUUAUUAGAUAAAAAACCAAUGCCCUUCGGGGCUCCUUGGUGAAUCAUAAUAACUUAACGAAUCGCAUGGCCUUGCGCCGGCGAUGGUUCAUUCAAAUUUCUGCCCUAUCAACUUUCGAUGGUAGGAUAGUGGCCUACCAUGGUAUCAACGGGUAACGGGGAAUUAGGGUUCUAUUCCGGAGAGGGAGCCUGAGAAACGGCUACCACAUCCAAGGAAGGCAGCAGGCGCGCAAAUUACCCAAUCCCGACACGGGGAGGUAGUGACAAUAAAUACUGAUACAGGGCUCUUUUGGGUCUUGUAAUUGGAAUGAGUACAAUUUAAAUCCCUUAACGAGGAACAAUUGGAGGGCAAGUCUGGUGCCAGCAGCCGCGGUAAUUCCAGCUCCAAUAGCGUAUAUUAAAGUUGUUGCAGUUAAAAAGCUCGUAGUUGAACCUUGGGCCUGGCUGGCCGGUCCGCCUCACCGCGUGUACUGGUCCGGCCGGGCCUUUCCUUCUGGGGAGCCGCAUGCCCUUCACUGGGCGUGUCGGGGAACCAGGACUUUUACUUUGAAAAAAUUAGAGUGUUCAAAGCAGGCCUUUGCUCGAAUACAUUAGCAUGGAAUAAUAGAAUAGGACGUGCGGUUCUAUUUUGUUGGUUUCUAGGACCGCCGUAAUGAUUAACAGGGAUAGUCGGGGGCAUCAGUAUUCAAUUGUCAGAGGUGAAAUUCUUGGAUUUAUUGAAGACUAACUACUGCGAAAGCAUUUGCCAAGGAUGUUUUCAUUAAUCAGUGAACGAAAGUUAGGGGAUCGAAGACGAUCAGAUACCGUCGUAGUCUUAACCAUAAACUAUGCCGACUAGGGAUCGGUGGGCGUUACUUUUUUGACCUCAUCGGCACCUUACGAGAAAUCAAAGUUUUUGGGUCUGG
rnacentral:rRNA from 2 species